CCUCCACCUGUCGCAGGUGCUCCUCGUGUAGCACGCGCUCCUGUAAGAGGGGGCCGGGGGUCGGCUGGACCAGCAGGGGCCGCAGACAUCCCCCAACCAGCUCUAUCGAGAUGUGACCACACAGAACUGGGCCUCAAACCCUCUGUGCUUGAGGCCUCGGAGGGCUCUGUGCUGUCUCCUGAGAUCAUGGUUAUUGGUGACGGCCAACUCUGGUGUCUGUGAGUUCACACGUCUCCACUCAAGCCUCGGUACAUACCUAUCACUCAGCAGAUGCUCGCUCGAUAAAUGGUAAUAAAGCGUGGUUGUUACUGAUGUUAAAAACUGCUGAAAUCUCCACUUGGUUGGUGAAGGGGAUUUAGAAGCUGGCCUCAAAAAAACCAAGCUGGGUCUUGCAACCAGAGUGGGUAAUGUGAAGAUGGAGAUGGUCAGCGUGUGUGCCUCCUCCUCCUCCUCCCGAAGCUUCAGGAUCUCCAGCACCUGAGUUGGGAAGUGGGGGCAGACAUAGUUAAAACACCCCCCACCCCUGCUACCUGCCAUCUGCCCACUCCCACAGAACACCCGACCUCCAGCUCCGACUCCCAGGCCUGAUGUCUGGACAACUUCUCCUCGUUCUUCAGCUUCAUCAUGGCCUCGUACUGGUAGAGAAGCUUCUUGGUGUGCUCCAUCGGCUCCACCUGGAACAAUGGCCACAGUGACUCAGAGAAGCAGCAGCAACGGCUGGGGUUGUGGGCAGAUUCUGGAGCCAGAUCUCUUGGGUUCAAAUCUUUCCCUGCCAUUUUCUAGCUGUGUGACCUCCAGCCAGUUGCUUCACCUCUCUGGAUCUGUUGCAUCUCUAAAAGCACAACUAGCAACAGAAGAGAAACUGGAGACUCAGAGGGGCCAAGGAAUGUGCCAGCAAAGUCAGGAUUGGAACUAGGAAAGCCAGCCCUGUGGAGGUGCUGAGAUCUGUCACAGCCUUGGUCGCAGGAUGGAAAAGGAGACGAUUUUCAGAGGAGCUCAAAGAGUAUUAUUCCCAGAUGGGAGGUCUUGAUUUUCCCAGGGGCGAAGAUGAAUUUCCAGGCUGGGUGCCAGGGCCUUCCACCCCAGGGCUCUCUCUUCACUCCACCCCAUCCUGCCCCUGCCCACCAGACUCCCAAGCCCACCUCGAAGCUGAUACACAUGUCGGGGGUCAUGAUGAUCUUGUUGCCCUUGCUGUCCACCUCCGUGCGCCGCAGGAACUCGCGCUUGUUGGCCGUGAUGUGGUCGGAGCGGCAGUGGUAGCGCAGCUGAAUGCGCUCCUCGGGGAUCAGAAACACUCGCUCGGCCACGUCCUCGUCCGCAGGCUUCGCAGGGUUGCGGAAGAAUCUCUCUGUGAUUUUCUGGGACACCAGAACAUGCGGAGGAGGCAGGGUGGAAAAGGGGGACUUCUGUGCUUGCCCUGAGGACAGGCGCAAAGGACCCUCAGGGACGCUGGUGUCUGGAGUUAUUUGGGGGGUGGGGGGUUAUGUAGAACAGCCCCUCCCAGCUUGACAGUGGCUCUCAAGGCCCCAGGGUUCUCAGUGCCCAGCGCUCCAGCCCUGUGUGGUGCGCCAUUUCUUCUCUAGCUCCUUCUGCCAGACUCUGCUUGCCCACCUCCAGAGAUGGGGAGCUCACCACCUCUCCAGGCAGCCUGCUCUAUCACUUGACAAUGCUUACUGCUAAAAAGAGCUUCUUUGGUGUGCAGAGGUUAAAUAUAGGUGCAAAAUAACUUGUGAUGAUAUGGAGGAAAAAGCUGCACAAUUUAAGUGAAGAGAGUGAUACAGGAAUUCUGCACACAUGCACACACACACAUCUUUGAAAAGACUCUCAAAAUCCAAUCUAUUAAUAUGUGAUAAUAGCUGAGAGAUGAAAUUCUGAGAUGUUUUUUACUUUUUAUAAUUUUACAUAUUUUCUAAGUGUUUAGUCAAGAGUGCGUAUACACACACAAAGACAAUACCUCGGUGGCCCAGUGGCUGACGUCCGGCAUCAGACAGACCCAAGAUGGUGUGUUUGGUAAAACAGGAAAGGUCACUCAGUAAAGAAGACUCCCUGGAGUCGGGGCUCCUCCCCUUCAGGGUAACCUUGGCCCACCAGAGUAGGCAGGCACCCCAUCCCCAAGUCCAGCAAGUACUUACCACCAUGGGCCGGGGGUUUGACUCUGCGCUGUUCAAAGCCAGCUUCUUCAUCCGGGGCCCGAAAUUGACAUGGCGGUAGGAGAGGAAGUCCGGCCGACCUUGGUAGUGCUCUGUCAUCGUCUUGGGUGUCUCCUCCCGCUUGAUCAGGCCGUCCACGCGGGCCGUUUCAUAAAACUCCAUGACACGGUCCAUCUCAGGUUGCAUGGACUUGUACGAGUGCACUGCGGGGGAGGUGGGGGCCGGGCGACGCCUAGGUGAGCACCCGGGGCCCCUAGCUUCAUAACCCGACCCCAGGCCUUGGGGAGAAGCCUCAUCUGUGAUGUCACCAAUGCCCUAGCGCUAGGUGUUUAGGCUGCUUCCAGCUUUUUUUGUUAUUAUAAUCAACACCGUGAUGAACAUCUGUUUGAUGUAUGUUUUCUUCUUGCCUGCUAUUUGUGCAACAGAACUGCUGGUCAAAAAACGUACAUAAUUGAAAGCUAUCAUUGAUUAUUUUGCCCAACCGCUCCCCAGAAAAGUUGUGCCAAUUUGCCGUCCUACCAGGAAUGAAGGGGAGUCUCUUGCUUACACGUGGUAGGGCCAUUUUUAAAUUUUUGCCAACUGAAGGGUUGUAGGUUGGUCCCUUAUUGAUUUUCUUUCUUUCUUUCCCCUUCCCUUCCCUACCCUGCCCUCCCCUUCCUGUCUCAACCAAGUGAGAUUGGUCCUGUUUUUAGAUGUAUAUUGAGCCUAUGUUUUUCUUUUGUGAAUUCUUGGAUUGGGUUGUUAAUUCUCUCCCAGGAUAUGUCCUUCCCUGCUUCCCAGUCUACUGGGCUUGCCGCCACAUCCGCACUGCCACACUUCUGCCCCCUGCAUUGCCCUUGUGGGGGUGCUUGUUGGUUUUCUUGUAGGCAUCCUAACCCCUGUAAACGUGGCCCGAAUGGGUACCUGAUCCCAACCACAGCAUGGGCUGCAACCCUGCUUUACCUUUCCUGGAGGAACACUUGUCACAUUUCCUUAGAUUUUCUGUGC